rnacentral:rRNA from 1 species
AUGUCGACUUGGAGGUUGUGCCCUGAGGCGUGGCUUCCGGAGCUAACGCGUUAAGUCGACCGCCUGGGAGUACGGCCGCAAGGUUAAAACUCAAAUGAAUUGACGGGGGCCCGCACAAGCGGUGGAGCAUGUGGUUUAAUUCGAUGCAACGCGAAGAACCUUACCUACUCUUGACAUCCAGAGAACUUAGCAGAGAUGCUUUGGUGCCUUCGGGAACUCUGAGACAGGUGCUGCAUGGCUGUCGUCAGCUCGUGUUGUGAAAUGUUGGGUUAAGUCCCGCAACGAGCGCAACCCUUAUCCUUUGUUGCCAGCGGUUCGGCCGGGAACUCAAAGGAGACUGCCAGUGAUAAACUGGAGGAAGGUGGGGAUGACGUCAAGUCAUCAUGGCCCUUACGAGUAGGGCUACACACGUGCUACAAUGGCAUAUACAAAGAGAAGCGACCUCGCGAGAGCAAGCGGACCUCAUAAAGUAUGUCGUAGUCCGGAUUGGAGUCUGCAACUCGACUCCAUGAAGUCGGAAUCGCUAGUAAUCGUAGAUCAGAAUGCUACGGUGAAUACGUUCCCGGGCCUUGUACACACCGCCCGUCACACCAUGGGAGUGGGUUGCAAAAGAAGUAGGUAGCUUAACCUUCGGGAGGGCGCUUACCACUUUGUGAUUCAUGACUGGGGUG